rnacentral:rRNA from 1 species
GAUGAACGCUGGCGGCGUGCUUAAUACAUGCAAGUCGAACGGGUAUAGCAAUAUACUAGUGGCGACCGGGUGCGUAACACGUAGUUGACCUGCCCCUCAGCGGGGGAUAACGUUCCGAAAGGGACGCUAAUACCGCAUGACCUCGGUGAGCUUAGAAGACACCGAGGCAAACUUCAGGGGUUGAGGGAGGGACUGCGGCCCAUCAGGUAGUUGGUGAGGUAACGGCUCACCAAGCCAANGACGGGUAGGGGCCUGAGAGGGUGUCCCCCACACUGGAACUGACACACGGUCCAGACUCCUACGGGAGCAGCAGUAAGGGNUAUUGGUCAAUGGCGCAAGCCUGAACCNGCAACGCCGCGUGCAGGAUGACGGCCUUCGGUUG